UCCCCAUCCCACCUCGCCCCCGUUACCGUUUGUCCCCCCCGCCGCCCUCGGCCUAGGCGCAGGCCGGGACGCGCUGGCCGCCUGUGGUGCUGCCGGGCUUGGCUGCUGCUGGGGAGAGAAGGGCAGAAGCUGGCUGGAUGCCUAGCGCUUUGGUGAACGCACCGCCAGCCCAAGAGAUUCUUGUCCCAAGCAUGGUGGAUUAGAUCAGGGGAUGGGCGGCCGUGCAGGAUGCGGAGGGAGGAUUCCUGCCGCAGCGUGACUGCUAUGUUGGGUGCUGGAGUUUUAAGAGGAAAAGAUGCAAACAACGUGACGGAGGUGAGCACAUUCUGUAGGUGUUUGCAUCUGCUCAGAUGAACCUGCCGCCAGUCAAGAGUCUUGUCUUUGAGUUCAGCAUCUGCAGCGGCAGUUGGAGAAUAGCUGCCACUUUGUGAGGAAGCUCAAGGAAGCUUCAGCACCUUCAGAGACUGAGCUGAGGAAACUAGUGACUGCCUGGAAGUGUGUUUCUUCUGGCAGCGAGAGAAGGUUCUGAAGCACUUUGAAAUGACACAGGAAGAAACCAGAAAAUUGUGUUCUUGUUUUAUGACCUGCAGCAUCAGGUUAUGAUGAGAGAUUAUGGAACUGCUUUCACUGAUUUUUUUAAAAUAGACUUAACAGCUACUGAAUGUGCUCUGUUUGGGCAGCCUGAUCCUUUCCUGGUGUGCAUGUUUGGUUUCGGUGCCAUCUUGAAGUCCCUCCCAGAUAAGCAUUUCUGCCCUUUCUACUGUGCUGUCAUGCGUGGCUCAAUAAAACAGAAGCAUGAAGGUGUGGUGUGACGUGGCAGAGAGGAGAUACUCGCUGGGGUCUGAAGUCAGUCCUGUGUUCUAUAAGAAGCGGCCCCACAGAAGAACAAGGAAUGCCCUGCCAGUCUGCUCAGGAUAGUACUUGAGUUUGCAGCCUACCUGGGUCCAGCUAUGGCAAUACCUUUUGGCUACCCAGUGUGCCGAGGGGCCAACCAACACAGAUUCCUUUGUGCCUCAUUAAGAGCGUGCAGCCUGUGCAGCAUUUCUGAUGAUGGGCUUUGCUGACGCUCACUGUGGGCAGGUGGAAUUGGUGCACAGAAUUGUCUGAAUCCAUUGCAAGAAGAGAGAAACGUUUCAGAAGUGAUAUUUGUGCCCUAGUGUUUUGAUGUGAUAGCAGCAAGCUUCAGACGGGGAUACAUGCAAGGCAUCUGUGCCAGAUCACCGUAGUCACUGGGUUGUCUGUCACCCUGCUGAGUCCAGUCGUUAUGUUUUAUAGCUGAUAUAGGGAAGGUGCAAAGACUGUGGUAACACAUCUGGGCCCAUCUGUAUUUCUGGGUGCAUGUUGCAUCCCGGUGAAGUUUGGGAAUUACAGCUGCCAAUGUGCCCCUUGUGACUAGCAUCUGGCUAAUUUCAAGCCUGUGCUGGUGUUCAGCAGUCUCUACUCUUGCUGCUUCUCAAAACCUGAGUACUGAGCAGGGCUCAGUAGCUGUCCUGUUCCCUGGAAGCUGGAAUGGUCCCUAUUUCAGCCCUUUUUUUAACUUGAUGAAUUCCUCCCAGGCCAGGUGAGCAAUGGUGCUCUGAAAAAGCAAACCCCUCUGGGUUUCUAUAAGGGAGCUCUGGACGAACCAACGAGAGUUGCAUCUCCUCCUGCAGAUCCAAACCAGUAUGUGGACAAGCAGGGCAGAGCUGCGUGCUGGGACAGUACCUCUCUGUGGCCAUGCACCCUGCUCACCAAGCAGAGCAGCCAGGGUGCCUCUGGAAGCUUGCAGGCACAAUUAUGGCACCCACUCUGCUCACAAGAGCCUUGCCAGCCAGCAAGCAGAAACGGGGCAUCAGCCAGCCCUGUUCAGGGUUACCAGGAGUACUGUGUGAGGUAGAAAAAUCAAGGACAUGAUGGGCUUGGAGGGAGACAACCCAUAGACUUCAUCCUGUACCAUGCGUGCCCAGUGGUGCUGACUGCAGAAAGCAGGGUGCAGAUUACUGCACCUUAAGAAGGACACGGAGCUGUUGGAGUGAAUCCAGAGAAGGCUGCAAAGCUCAUCAGAGGGCUGGAGCACCUCUCCUGUGAAGAGAGCCUGAGAGAGUUGGAGUUGUUCAGCCUGGAGAAGAGAAGGCUCCAGGGAGAUUUUAGAGCAGCUCCCAGUACCUAAAGGGGCUGACAAGAAGGCUGGGGAGGGACUUUUACAAAGGCAUAUAGUGAUAGGACAAGAUGGAAUGGCUUUAAACUGAAAGAGGGGAUAUUUAGAUUAGAUACUAGGAAGAAUUUUUUUCUGUGAGGGUGGUGAGACAUACGAACAGGCUGCCCAGAGCAGCUGUGGGUGCCCCAUCCCUGGCAGGGCUCAGGGCCAGGCUGGACGGGGCUGGGAGCAGCCUGGGCUGGGGGGAGGGGGCCCUGCCUAUGGUGGGGGGAUUAGAACUGGAUGGUCUUUAAGGUCCUUUCUAUGAUUCUAUGAAGUGCAGUGCAGAGUGGGUUGAGCCAUGGCAAUCUGACCCCCUUGACACCCAUUUUCCUGACCCUAGUCUGCAGCUUAACUCUUGAAUAGUUGGGGGUUUUUUUCCCCCUGGUUCUCAAGUCUGGUGUGAUUUUAAGGCUCCUGUCUAUCCUCUGUGGAGAAUUGGGGUGACUAAAGGAAUUCUCUUGAUAUCUGGAAGAGAGCUAAUGCAACUCUAAUCUUUCAGAAGGAAAAGGAGAGUCCAGACUGUUAUGGACUGGUCAGCCUCAGCCUGGAAAGAACAUAGAGCAUAUCCUCUUGUGAUCCCUGUCUCCAAACAAAUGAAGCACAGGAAGGUAAUCGAGCAGCUGACAUGGAUUUGACCAACAGCAAAUUGUGCUUGACCAAGCACAAAGUUAAGGCUUUAAGUGCUUUAAAGCAGCAGCCCAUUAAAUAUUUUGUUUGUUAUCUUGUUGACAUCCCUCCUGUUAACGUCUCAUUAGAUCUUUCAGUGAUUGUUAACAGCUGUGGUGGUCAGGUUUUCUGAAGCAGUGGCUUAACACGUUCCUGGCACAGCUCAGUAUUCACACAGGCAUACCUCAGCUCCACAGAGGCACAAGGUGGGGUGUCGGGAGCGUGAGCACUGCCAGAAAUCUCUCCCAUCUGUAUUCCCCAGAGCACUAGGAGCUCCCCACACUACUUGUUGAGGGAUAGCAGGGGUUUAUGCCACUCCAGGGCAAGGAGCAGUUGUCCUGGGGUAAGGCAGCGCAGAGUCAGCGGCACAAGAAACCUCUCUUCCUCAAUAUACCACAGGGUGGCCAUCUGUACUGCCACGGGGAUGGCAGAGGGACCAUCCCUUGUGGGUGUGUGAAGACCAUAAACAUCUGCCAGGUGGCUGGAGGGUGAAGCUUGUUUGGGGGUCCCAGGAGCUUGAGAGAGUCGAUGUAAGUUGCUGAGAGCAACUCAGUCGCUGAGAGCUAGGAUGACUGCAGUGGCAUUUUAGGCAAAUGAACUGUCUGACCCCUCAGUGUCUUUCUAUAGUGAGGGGCCCAAAACUGAACACGGUAUUUGAGGUGUGGCCUUUCAUUCCCAGAGAAGUGAAAUUGCCUGUGGGUGGCAAAGGGUUGAGAAAUGCUUUUCUGAGUCCAGUACUGACUUCCGAUUAGCCAGCUGACCAGGGGAAUCCCAGUUUGCUCAUUAUACCAGCUUUCACAGGAAAAUCAGUAAGGACCUCCAAACCAGCUAGGGAACCUUCUGCACCAUGGCUCAUGGUCCCUGUACAUGAGGUCGUGUGUCCUCUUCUGCUGUUGCUGAAGUGCUUUGUUCUCUCUUUUUUGGUGUAAAUGUGCGACUGUUCCUGUGGCUCUUGCAGCUCUGCAUGACUCUAGUUGUGAAGUUACAGGUUGUCAUUAAGUACUGAAAACCUGGUGAAGUUAAUGGCAAUUGCAUGAACUUAGCCUAAACUCUGAGGCUUGUUCAAAUAGUCCAAGCCUAUAGUACAGCUAAAGGCUCAAACCCCGUCAGCUCCAGUCUAUCUGUGAAGGUCUGUGGGUCACAUAGAGUCCUGAGCAGGUGGAGACAGCCAGAGUUCUUGUAGCCAAAUUGCAAACUAUUUUCCCAUCUUAGGCAAUUUUUUAUUUGCCCGAAGUCCAGUAUAUUGACCUCACAUAGACUCUCAAGUCCUUCCUCUACUCAUUACUAUUUGAGAUAUUGAAACCUAGCAGGUUUAAAAGUUAAUUUGCAAUUGCACUUACUCCACAAUAUACUGAAGGCCUGCAGAGAGAAGGCACAAUGCAUUCUCUUCAGAUGAUUUGCAGCCCGGGCACAAAGAUGCAGUUAAGUAGGGCAACAGCGACUGAGCAAUCAGCAAAACAUGUUUCAGAGAAUCACAGAAUAGUGUGGGUUGAAGGGAGCUUUAAAGGUCACUUAGUCCAAGCCCCUGUCAUGAGCAGGGUCAUCUUCAACUAGAUCAUGAUGCUCAGAGCCCUGUCCAACCUGGCCCUGAAUGUUUCCAGGGAUGGGGCAUCUACCACCUCUCGGAGCAACCUGUGCCAGUGUCUCACUGCCCUCAGUGUGAAACAUUUAUUCCUUAUAUAUAGUCUAAAUCUCCCCUCUUUUAGUUUAAAAUCAUUGCCCCUUGUCCUAUUGGUACAGGCCCUACUAAAAAGUCUGUCUCCAUCUUUCUUAUAGCCCCCUGUAAGUACUGAAAGGCUGCUCUAAGGUUUCCCCAGAGCCUUCUCUUCUCCAGGCUGAACAGCCCCAACUGUCUCAGCCUGUCUUCACAGGAGAGGUGCUCCAAGCUUCUGAUCAUCUUUGUGGUCUCCUCCAUGUCUUUCCUGUGCUGAGGAUUCGAGAGCUGGACACAGUACUCCAGGUGGGGUCUCACCAGAGUGGAGUUGAAGGGGGAGAAUCACCUCCUUCAACCUGCUGUCCACUUCUUUUUAUGCAGACCAGGAUUUGGUUGGGUUUCUGGGCUGCGAGUGCACAUUGUUGGCUCAUGUCCAGCUUUUCGUCCACCAGUAUCCACAAGUCCUUCUCCGCAGGGCUGCUCUCAAAUCCUUCAUCCCCCAGCCUGUAUUGAUACCUGGGAUUGCCCUGACCAAAGUGCAGGUCGUUGCACUUGGCAUUGCUGAACCUCACAAGGUUCACAGGGCUCCACUUCUCAAGCUUGUUGGGGGCCCUCUGAACAGUAUCCUGUCCCUCAGGCAUGUCAACCACACCAUUCAGCUUGGUGUCAUCUGCAGACUUGCUGAGGGUGCACUUGAUCCCACUGGCUGUGUCACUGAUGAAGAUGUUAAACUGUAUUAUAAACGUAGUAUUACAGAAAGCUUUUUAGGGUAAAAUACAGCUAUCGCCUUCAGGAUGGUUGGCAUGCAUGGAACUGACAUCACCACAGGUCCCUAAGCCACACAAGCUGCUAUCCUAGAGGAAUAGUGGAGGAUGGAGUGAAGUGGGGACACUGCGGCCAGGCUCUGCUGUGCUCCCUGCAGGACUGGGAACCUGAUGGUACCAUAUAGCCGAUAAGCUACAUAGAGGCUGUCAAAUGGAAAAUAUAUGAGAUGUCUGUUGCUGGGCCAGCAACUGUGGUGAAGAUGUAAACAGGAGCCUCAUUAUCUGUGAGAGAAGGUCGGGAGCUCAGUCCGCUCAGCACUUCAAGAAGGGACAGUUAGUACAGAUGUAGAUGAGCUCAAGAAUGUAAAUAAGGAGCCUUCUGAUGAGCACAUGCUAACUGCUAAAAGAAAACAACCUGCUGAAGAGAUAAGACUCAAGGAUGUUAGGGUAAAGUAAUUGUGGUAGUGGGAGAUCGAGAUCGCAACCUCCUACUCAAAUGGCCCUCCCGAAGAGAGUGAAUCCCCCACUCUGGGAGCAUGCCCAGUAAAUUUAAAAUGAACUGAACCUUUAAAUGACAGUGAGAGAACUUUGCACCAAUCACAAUAAAAGAAUGUAUGACUAGAGUCACCCAAGCUCCACCUAAGAGUAACGAGAAGUAAAAAAGUGAAUAAAUGAGGGGAAAAGUGGGAAAGACACCACCAAGAACAGGUUAAGGGAAGAUGCACCAAGACUGACUCCUGGGACCGGCCGAUGGGCUAAGCCUUUCUUCUCCCCGGCUUGGGACACCUUGGGUGAGACUUAAACUAAGUGCUAAACUCUAGAGAGUUACUCUUUAACAGUUAUAGCCAGGCUGUAUUGUUCAUAACUUUUCCACGUGUUUUAUACUUUAUAACAUCAUAACAUUGCAUGUGUCUUUUUGCAGACAGUCACUAUCACCAGCGAUCCAAAACCCUGUCUAUCUGUUGCACAAAUAAAACUGCACUGUUAAGU